rnacentral:lncRNA from 1 species
CUUCCUAAUCACAAUAGCCUUCACCUGGGAAAUUUCCUCCUUAUCUGGCGAAACAGCUUGUUUAGGGUUCCAUCUGGCCUGCUCAGUUAGGCCUGUUUCUGUUGCUGUUUAAUUUGGAACCGUCCAUAUACAUCAAGUCUGAGCAACACUGGACCCACUGCAGGCGGGCGGAGUGGCUGUUCCUCCUGACUAUACCAACAUCUUCCACUCGUGCUCAAGACCUGCCUGGAGGCUUCUGACUUGGGAAUCCCUGGUGUAUAAGGAGGAUUUAUAAACAGCCAACAUUUGCUCAUCAUUAUCCUGGGGAAAAUAUGGCAAAGGAUGUCGAAACAGUAGAAAACAGUUUCCUUUUAACAAAGUGAAAGCAGCUGGUUUACACAAGAAUUAUUCAUUGGGUUCGUGGAAGUCGGGUGUGCCCUGAUUUGAAUGCUUUAUUGCUCAGAUAUACAGGCGACAAAAAUGCCCCUGGGUUCUUCGCUGGGGCUAGUCAUCAGUUGCUAUACUCCUGGCUCAUUUCCUGUGACACUCAUUUUAAGUGCUGGAUGGGACUGGAGAGGUGGCCUGGUAAUUUUCCUGUCUAGUCUGCUGAUUAGUAGGAGGUGACUUUCCUGAGGGUCAUAGGGGUUAGUAGAAUGAAUGGAGAUUUUCGUGUAUGGUUAGGAAAGAUGACACCCAGAAAAUUGAACUACUUAAAAGAAAAAAAAAAACUUUAUCGUGCUCCAUUCAGAGGGUGGAGAAUGUUAUAUCAUCUGGCCCUUUACUCAUUCAAUAAAUAUUCAUUAAGCACUGACUUUGUGCCAUGCACUGUGCUAAACUGAGGAUGCAAUGGUAAAGGAGACUGGAUCCCCUGGCCUGGAGUUUCAGUCUGAAAGUUGUUAUCCAAAUAUUUAUACCUGAUAGUGACCUAAAGGAUGACCAGUGCCAGCUUAAAGGCAGAGCAAAGAUCUAUCCAUUUAGGGUCCCCAAAGAAAUCCACAGUACUCCCAACUGUUUGCUUUCAAACAGGUAUAUUUUGCCUUGAAAAACAUUUUCCAAAGGUCCUGUUUUCCCUCACCUCUAAGACAUCUCCACCAAUGUAAAUACCCUUGGUAAGGGUGAAACCUCAAACCGCUCCAGGGCCCAGCAGCUAACAGAUGAGUGGGGCCAGUGAAACUGGGCUAGCUGUGGAGAGGCAGGAACCUUGGCCCAAUGCUGCCAGAGUCUCAGGGUUUGUGAGAGAAGCCGGAAAUUGGCAUUUAAAAAAGAUAAUAGGAGUUCCCAUCCAUUUCUUUCAAAAAUAUUUUUAAACCCAGUAUAGAUCAUUAAAAAUGAGUUUGCUGGAGUUCCCAUUGUAGCUUAGAAGGUUAACAAUACAAUAUUUUCUCUUUGUGGAUGCAAGUCAGAUCCCUGGCCUCACUCAGCGGGUUGAGGAUCUGGGGUUGCCGUGAAAUGUGGUGUAGGUCACAGAUGCGGCUCAGAUCCCAAGUUGCUGUGGCUGUGGUGUAGGCUGGCAGCUAUAGCUCCAAAUGGACCUGGGGAACCUCCAUAUGCCACAGGUGCAGUCAUAAAAAAAAAAAAGGUUCACAAGAGUUCCUUGGUGGUCUAGUGAGUUAAGGACAUCAUCACUGCUCUGCUGCACAUUCUAUCCCUGGCCCGAGCACUUCCACAUGCCUUGGAUGUGGCAAGAAAAAAAAGAGGAGGUUGUAGUUAGAUUUCAGUUUAAAAAUCCCCAGGUUGUGAUCUCCUACUCCAGAAGACUCCCUGCCACACCCCCUCAUUGUAUUUUACACAAAUCCUACCAAGAACUGACACUCUGGAAUUAACCUUUUUCAGGAAGUCCUGCUGGGCCUCUCAUGUUUUUGAAAAUCCAACACAUGGAGAUAUUUAGACUUCCUGCACCUCUCUCUCUUUCUCUCAAUAUUUCUCUUUCUCAUUACUCUUGCUGUAUAUCCAAA